AUGGACAGACUUCUUGGCAUGUUGAUAGUGACACUAUUUCUGCAACUGACAGGAGUAAACAGCCAGCUAGAAGAAAAGAAUCCUUGGGCCAUGAACAUCCAGGAGGGUAAAAAUGUCAAUGUGAACUGCAGUUAUAAAACAUCCAUAACUUCCCUACAGUGGUACAGACAGGUCUUAGGCAGAGGCCCUGCCAUUCUAAUCUUAAUACGUUCAAAUGAGAAAGAGAAACAGAGUGGAAGACUAAGAGUGACCCUUAACACCUCCACCCAGAGCAGUUCCCUGUCCAUCACUGCUGCCCGGCCUGAAGAUACUGCUGCAUACUUCUGUGCUACAGAGACACAGUGUGCAGCAGACACCUGCAGCCCUGACACAAACCCUCAGAGCUGUUUCCUAGACCUCAAGAGUGGGUGGAAUGGUGCUUAUGUCAUUUCACAAUAA